rnacentral:rRNA from 1 species
GAAUUCGCCCUUAGAGUUUGAUCCUGGCUCAGGACGAACGCUGGCGGCGUGCCUAACACAUGCAAGUCGAACGAAGCUCCCCGAUACAAGGCUUCGGCCAAGUUGAAGGGAUGACUUAGUGGCGGACGGGUGAGUAACGCGUGAGGAACCUGCCUUUCAGUGGGGGACAACAGUUGGAAACGGCUGCUAAUACCGCAUAAUGUUUCUGGACCGCAUGAUCUGGAAACCAAAGCUUUAUGUGCUGAAAGAUGGCCUCGCGUCUGAUUAGAUAGUUGGUGAGGUAACGGCCCACCAAGUCUACGAUCAGUAGCCGGACUGAGAGGUUGAACGGCCACAUUGGGACUGAGAUACGGCCCAGACUCCUACGGGAGGCAGCAGUGGGGAAUAUUGGGCAAUGGGGGAAACCCUGACCCAGCAACGCCGCGUGAAGGAAGAAGGCUUUCGGGUUGUAAACUUCUUUUACCAGGGACGAAGGACGUGACGGUACCUGGAGAAAAAAGCCACGGCUAACUUACGUGCCAGCAGCCCGCGGUAAUACGUAGGGUGGCAAGCGUUGUCCGGAUUUUACUGGGGUGUAAAGGGCGUGUAGGCGGGAAAACAAGUAAAAAGUGAAAUCCAUGGGGGCUUAACCCCAGAACGGCUUUGGAAACUGUUCUUCCUUGAGUAACGGAAAAGGGCAGGCCGAAAUUCC